GGUGAACGGGUGAGUAACACGUAUCCAAUCUACCCUUAAGAUUGGGAUAACUAGUCGAAAGAUUAGCUAAUACCGAAUAAUGACAUUCUUUUGCAUGAAAGAAUGUAGAAAGUUGCGUUUGCAACGCUUUUGGAUGAGGGUGCGACGUAUCAGAUAGUUGGUGAGGUAACGGCUCACCAAGUCAUUGACGCGUAGCUGUACUGAGAGGUAGAACAGCCACAAUGGGACUGAGACACGGCCCAUACUCCUACGGGAGGCAGCAGUAGGGAAUUUUUCACAAUGGGCGAAAGCCUUAUGAAGCAAUGCCGCGUGAACGAUGAAGGUCUAUAAGAUUGUAAAGUUCUUUUAUUUGGGAAGAACCACUAAAAUAGGAAAUGAUUUUAGUUUGACUGUACCAUUUGAAUAAGUAUCGGCUAACUAUGUGCCAGCAGCCGCGGUAAUACAUAGGAUGCAAGCGUUAUCCGGAUUUACUGGGCGUAAAACGAGCGCAGGCGGAUUUGUAAGUUUGGUAUGAAAUCUAGAUGCUUAACGUCUAGCUGUAUCAAAAACUACGAAUCUAGAGUGUAGCAGAGAGUUGGGGGAACUCCAUGUGGAGCGGUAAAAUGCGUAG
rnacentral:rRNA from 1 species